GAAAGCCGUAUGAGGGAAAACCUCACGUACGGUUUGAUGAGGAGGGGCUGGUUUAAAUCCAGCCCUUCACUCUAGC
rnacentral:ncRNA from 1 species